GUUCUUCACCGCCCUUCACCAUCUAAAUCAUCUCUAAACCCCCAGACUUCCUUAUCACCAACUGACAAUAAAACAAUGGAAAAGAACUACCGUGAUUGGUCCGCCGAAUGUUUAUGAAGAAAAACUCAACGGAAGUGCAAGCCAUAUGUAGCCAUUGUUCCGGUGUUGAGGCGGCAACGAGUGUGGAAGCGAGGUUCGUGUAUUUCGUUUUGAGCAUCUGUCGUGUAUUCCAAAGGUAGAUCGUGUCGUCUAGUGGUGAGUUAGGGGCUAGACUGGGAACCGAUUUGGGGUAAUAUCCGCUGAUGAAGGCGGCAACAGGAGAUGUACUGCGGUACACACCGAGGGCUUCGGUCGGCGGCCGUAAGUGCCAAUUUAUGGCAAGAAGCGGCUGAAACAGGUAUAUAUGGGCGGCGGUAACCGGUGCGUUUGAAUCGGUGAGUGCAUGCCCAAUUUGAUCAAGUAGGUUUGAGAGUGUUGGAAGGAUUUUUAAGUAGAAUUUUAGUAUGAUUGUGAGGUAUGUAGAUAAUGAGGCCAUUUAUCUUAUUAAUUGGAUGAUGUUUAUGAACGUUAUUAUGUUUUCUUCAUGGAAAUUGCUGAGAAUUUGUGGUCUCUAA
rnacentral:lncRNA from 1 species